rnacentral:misc_RNA from 1 species
AAGUCGUAACAAGGUUUCCGUAGGUGAACCUGCGGAAGGAUCAUUAUCAAUGAGAAAAACUCAAACACUAGUGAACAUUAAAGAACUGUCUUUGGGGACACCUUUGAUUAGGUUGGUCCCCAACAAAACAACACAACCUUACAACUUGAAGCAGAGUCAAUAUUAUUAAAUUAAUAAAGACAACUUUUAGCAACGGAUCUCUAGGUUCUC